UUAAAGGUAUUUGACAUGACAUUCGUGUAGCGGGUGAGGCUCUCACCAGAGGAAAUAUGGUCCUCUAGGCCAGAUUGCCAGGGUUUUAUUUUUUCUAUCUUGUGUUCUUGUACUUUGAAUUUUGUAUGUAACGAUCCAUCGAUAUUAAACGAACCGAAACACAA